UUAGAAUUGUUACGAUUUUGUGAAAAAGUAAAAACGCUUCGCUUGCAAUGGACGAAAUGGACUACAGUGUCUAGGUUAGGAGGCAUACUGUUUAAACUUCUUCAUUGGACAGCCACUACUGAGUCAGUUCUGGCAUUACUUUCGGCUAAGUAAAGAAUCUUCAGCUCUAUUCGAAUUAUCUGGACUACUCCAAAUCUUGUCAUUUGUGGUUUUUGACCCGUUAUGACGAACCUUCCAAAUGAUGAACACUUCUGUCCAUAAAAUUACAUAAGGUAACGGUGAUAUUAGUGAAAAUUGUUAACCCCAGUGAGAGCGAACAACACAGCUGAAGCGAUGUAAUCUAUGCGAAAAGAGAUGUCCAAGGUAGGGUUAGUUAAGUUUACUGUUUAUGAAAUAGGAAAGCAUUCAUCUUGGGCAACAAAUUAUGAGUAAUGCGAUGGAAUUGAACAGCUAUAUCUCAAAAAGAACUCUUCGACGACGAAUUGAUAUGCAUACAUUACAUAAAUUGAUUGAAGACAGAAAAGCUUUUAGAAAGCUA